AAAAUAUAUUUUUUAAGUCAUACAAUUUUUGAGUUUUUCAUUACAGCAGUUUAGACUUUUAUACUACUACCACAUUAAUGGAUUUCUUUCCUUCCAUUUUUUUUGGACCUUAGGUGAUGAGGAUUAUACUAACCAUAUUCUUCCCUUCAUAGCAUACCAUCUGCAUUGGUCUAAUCAAAACCUAUUUUAUUUCCUUUAUUAAUUCAUUUACUACUUUGUUUCCUUUCUUCUCUAUUCUUUACUUCCAUCUCCUCCCCAAAGGCAACCUUCUAAUUUAUUUGAUGUGUAUGUUUGUUUGAGUUAUUUUAAAACUUACAUUACUUUGUAUGCAUGGAUUUAGAUAGUAGUAUGGUGCUGUGGAUCUCAUUCUGGCUUUUUUCCCCACUCAGUAAUAUUUUUUUAAAGAUCCACCUGUGUCACUCUGUGUACAUCGUCUGUAGUUUCACACUGCUGCAUAAUUUACCACGGUAUUCAUCCACUCCAAUUUACUUCCUCAUUUUCCCGGAAAUAAAAUCUAUACUGCUUCCAACUUUCUGUUACCUCAUACAUUGUGAUGAACGUCCUCAUGCAUGUCCCCUUAUGGAUCUAUAUGAAAAGUGUUCUGGAAUAUAUAUAAAAUGAAUGGAAUUGUUGAGUCAUAGGGCAUAUGUAUAAUUCAUUUAUGUAUGUCAGAUUGCUCUUUGGAAUAGCAGCUCCAGUCUAAACUCUGAUCAGCUGUGUGCAUUAGAAUUCCUCUAUCUUUGCACCCUCACUAACAAUUGGCAUGUCCCAGCUUUAAAAUUUUUGCCAGUCAAGUAGGUAUAAACAGAUUUAUAAUUGAAUUUUAAUUAGCAAUUAACUGGUUAAUAAUGAGUUUGAACAUCUCUUCAUUUAUUUCUGAGCAUUUUGGUUUUCAUCUCCUCUGGGUAUAUUUGUCAUGUUUUGUCAGUUUAUUUUAUUUUACUUUAUUUUAUUUUUUGAGAUAGGAUCUCAUUCUGUAACCCAGGCUGGAGUGCAGUGGCAUGAACAUGGCUCACUGCAGUCUUGACCUGCUGGGCUCAAGCGAUUCUUCUGCCUAGCUGCUCCAAGUAGCUGGAACGAGAGGCAUGCACCAUCACACUCAGCUUAUUUUUUAAAAUAGUGUUUUUUUUUUUUUUUAGAAACAAGAUCUUGCCAUGUUGCCUAAGCUGGUCUUCAACUCCUGGCCUCAAGCUAUCCUCCUGCCUUGGCCUCCCAAAGCACUGGCAUUACAGGCAGGAGCCACCUCAUCUGUCCGAACUCUUUUGUCACUUUAAGGCAGUGUAUUCCUGUCUUUUUCUUUUGGAUUUGCAGGAGUACUUCGUAUAUCCUAGCUAUUAAUCCUUUGUUAAAGAGUUGUGCAACCAUCACCACAAUGAAUUGUAGAAUAUUUUCAUCACUCCAAACAGAAACCCUGCACCUAUGAGUUGUCACUCUUCAACUUGCCUCUGCCACUCCUUUCAACUAUUACUUUACUUUCUGUCUCUAUAGAUUUGCCUGUUGUAAACAUUUCAUAUAACAUUAAAAACUUAAGACCAUAAA